ACGGCCGCUGUGACGCUGCGGCGGCGGCGGGCGGGCGGCGGCGCGUGAGGCGCGCGAUCCCCGGUGUCUUGGGAGCAGUGCCCCGGCCCCCGCCGCUCCCGCCGCCGCCAUGUCGGGCCGGUCGGUCCGGGCGGAGACCCGCAGCCGGGCCAAGGACGACAUCAAGAAGGUGAUGGCGGCCAUCGAGAAAGUGCGGAAAUGACGAAAACAGCAACCAGAGUUCCGUGUCUGACGUCUAUCAGCUUAAGGUGGACAGCAGCACCAACUCAAGCCCCAGCCCCCAGCAGAGUGAGUCCCUGAGCCCAGCACACACCUCCGACUUCCGCACGGAUGACUCCCAGCCCCCAACCCUGGGCCAGGAGAUCCUGGAGGAGCCCUCCCUCCCCUCCUCGGAAGUUGCUGAUGAACCUCCCACCCUCACCAAGGAAGAACCAGUUCCACUAGAGACACAGGUUGUUGAGGAAGAGGAAGACUCAGGUGCCCCGCCCCUGAAGCGCUUCUGUGUGGACCAACCCACAG
rnacentral:sRNA from 1 species